GUUAAUGUUAAAAGUAAUUUUAGUGUUAGGUUUAGAGUUAGGGUUAGUGAUAGGGUAAGGAUUAUGGUUAGGGUUACCAUUAGGGUUAGGUUUUGGGUUAGUAUUAAACAUAUGGUUCGGAUUAGGUAUGGAUUAUGGUGAGGGUUAGGUUAGUGUUAGGUUUAUGGUUUCGGUUAGGGAUUGUGUUAGUGUUAUAGUAAGAAUUAGAGAUAGGGUUGAGGUUAGAAUUAGGGUUAUAGUUAUGGUUAGGGUUAGGGUAGGGUUUGUGUUAGGUCUAGGGUUAGUGUUAGUAUAGGUGUUAAGAUUAGGGUUAGUGUUAAUGUUAUGGUUGGGGUUAGGGUUAGGAUUAGUUUUUGGUUUAGCAUUAGAUUUAGGAUUAUUUUAAGUGUUAGGGUUAAGGUUAGCGUUAGUGUUAGGUUUAGGUUAGGGUUGGGGUUACAGUUAGGUUAAGGUUAGGGUUAGUUUUAGGGUUAGGUUUAGUGUUUGUGUUGGAGUUAGGCUUAGGGUUAAGUUAGGGUUAGGUUUAAGUUUGGGUUCAUAUUAGGGUAGAGUUAGGGUUAGUGUUAGGUUGAGAUUUAUGGUUAAUAUUAGAGUUAGGUUUAGGGUUACUGUAAAAGUUAGGUUUAGUGAUAGGGUUAGGGUUAGGGUUAGGUUUAAUAUUAGUGUUUGGUUUUGGGAUAGGGUUAGUUUUAGGGUUAGGUUUAGGGUUGAAAUUAGUGUUAGGGUUAGGGUUAGUUUUAGGGCUAGGGUUAGAGUUUGUUUAGGGUGACGGUUAGUGUUAG
rnacentral:lncRNA from 1 species